UACGGAGGGGGGCUAGCGUUGUUCGGAAUUACUGGGCGUAAAGGGCGCGCAGGCGGCUGCUCAAGUCAGGCGUGAAAGGCCUGGGCUCAACCCGGGAAUUGCGCUUGAGACUGGGCUGGCUUGAGUGCGGGAGAGGAUGGUGGAAUUCCCAGUGUAGAGGUGAAAUUCGUAGAUAUUGGGAAGAACACCAGUGGCGAAGGCGGCUCACUGGCUCGUAACUGACGCUCAGGCGCGACAGCGUGGGGAUCAAACAGG
rnacentral:rRNA from 1 species